rnacentral:rRNA from 1 species
GACGAACGCUGGCGGCGUGCUUAACACAUGCAAGUCGAACGGAAAGGCCCUGCUUUUGUGGGGUGCUCGAGUGGCGAACGGGUGAGUAACACGUGAGUAACCUGCCCUUGACUUUGGGAUAACUUCAGGAAACUGGGGCUAAUACCGGAUCGGAGCUCCUGCUGCAUGGUGGGGGUUGGAAAGUUUCGGCGGUUGGGGAUGGACUCGCGGCUUAUCAGCUUGUUGGUGGGGUAGUGGCGUACCAAGGCUUUGACGGGUAGCCGGCCUGAGAGGGUGACCGGCCACAUUGGGACUGAGAUACGGCCCAGACUCCUACGGGAGGCAGCAGUGGGGAAUAUUGCACAAUGGGCGGAAGCCUGAUGCAGCAACGCCGCGUGCGGGAUGACGGCCUUCGGGUUGUAAACCGCUUUCGCCUGUGACGAAGCGUGAGUGACGGUAAUGGGUAAAGAAGCACCGGCUAACUACGUG